CCUACGGGAUGCUGCAGUGAGGAAUAUUGGUCAAUGGACGCAAGUCUGAACCAGCCAUGCCGCGUGCAGGAAGACGGCUCUAUGAGUUGUAAACUGCUUUUGUACGAGGGUAAACGCAGAUACGCGUAUCUGUCUGAAAGUAUCGUACGAAUAAGGAUCGGCUAACUCCGUGCCAGCAGCCGCGGUAAUACGGAGGAUUCAAGCGUUAUCCGGAUUUAUUGGGUUUAAAGGGUGCGUAGGCGGUCGGAUAAGUUAGAGGUGAAAUCCCGAGGCUCAACUUCGGAAUUGCCUCUGAUACUGUUCGGCGAGAGAGUAGUUGCGGUAGGCGGAAUGUAUGGUGUAGCGGUGAAAUGCUUAGAGAUCAUACAGAACACCGAUUGCGAAGGCAGCUUACCAAGCUACUUCUGACGUUGAGGCACGAAAGCGUGGGGAGCAAACAGGAUUAGAUACCCGAGUAGUC
rnacentral:rRNA from 1 species